UUGCAAACAGAUGGAAAGCCCUUGAAAAGUCUAUUCCUCGCGGAAGGGAACUAAUAUACAGUGUCUCCUUCAGGCUGGCGCUCAGGCCGCCUGGUGCAGGGGGCUGUUUACUCGCCGUGGAGAGGCCUCAGGGCUCCCACUGCCUUUCCUGUCUGAGGAUUUCUGUGCUGUAGCCAGCGCUGCACAAAAUCAGGUCUGCGGCUGAAAAAAAAUCUGCUCCAGCAGACGAGGCAUGUCACUGCCGUGUGGGAGGAGAGAGAGAGAGAACAUGGCUGUGUCCACACGGAGGAUAUUUCCAAAAUUACCCCACUCAGACCUCCUUUUACCACGGGGGUUAACAGCAGCAUGAAGCCACAGAGCAUUCACCAGGAAUGGAGUGUGGUCUGCAGCUCAAAGCCCUGCACCGGCUUGGCUCCCACUGAGAUGUGAAGGUGCCCGGGUCAGCACCAGAGGAUGGGCAGCCUCUCAGCUCUGCUAUCCAUAUUCAUGUAGCUGGAGUGGGAGCUCUGGGUGAGGGCAGGGGGACAGAUGGGGGCGCAGACCAGGAGAGAGCAGCUGAACCUGGGAGCAGAGAGCAAUCAGCCAGACUUUGUAGGUCUCUGGCCCUUGCAAAUGCCUGAUCAUCCCCCUUCAUUGGGUGGCAGCACUGCCUAUGGGGACCCAAGGGAG